UUUGCAUAUUUCAUUAGCGGAGGAAAAGAAACCAACAGGGAUUGCCUCAGUAACGGCGAGUGAAGCGGCAAAAGCUCAAAUUUGAAAUCCCCCCGGGGAGUUGUAAUUUGAAGAUUGCGUCUUGGAGGCGACCGUGUCUAUGUUCCUUGGAACAGGACGUCACAGAGGGUGAGAAUCCCGUGCGGCACGGCCCCCGGCUCCUUAUAAGGCGCUCUCGACGAGUCGAGUUGUUUGGGAAUGCAGCUCAAAGUGGGUGGUAAAUUCCAUCUAAAGCUAAAUACAGGCGAGAGACCGAUAGCGAACAAGUACAGUGAUGGAAAGAUGAAAAGCACUUUGAAAAGAGAGUGAAACAGCACGUGAAAUUGUUGAAAGGGAAGGGCAUGCCGUCAGAUUGUCAGUGUGGGUAAGAAGCGGGGUACAAAGACUGUGGAACGUGGCCCUCGGGUGUUAUAGCCGCAGUUCAUGCCCCGUCUCUUUCCGAGGCCUGCUUUGAGGACACCGACGUAAUGACGGUACGCCGCCCGUCUUAAACCCCCGGAACCAA
rnacentral:rRNA from 1 species